rnacentral:rRNA from 1 species
UCCGUAGGCGGUGUGGCAAGUCGGAAGUGAAAUCUCUGGGCUUAACCCAGAGGCUGCUUCCGAAACUGCUGUGCUAGAGUGCGAGAGAGGCGAGUGGAAUUGCGGGUGUAGCGGUGAAAUGCGUAGAUAUCCGCAGGAACAUCCGAGGCGAAAGCGGCUCGCUGGAUCGCAACUGACGCUGAGGGACGAAAGCUAGGGGAGCAAACAGGAUUAGAUACCCUGGUAGUCCUAGCCCUAAACCAUCAGGACUUGGGGUUUGCCCUGUACGGGGCAAGUCCCGUAGCUAACGCGUUAAGUCCUGCGCCUGGGGAGUACGGUCGCAAGGCUGAA